rnacentral:rRNA from 1 species
CCUACGGGCGGCAGCAGUGGGGAAUAUUGCACAAUGGGGGAAACCCUGAUGCAGCGACGCCGCGUGAGUGAAGAAGUAUUUCGGUAUGUAAAGCUCUAUCAGCAGGGAAGAAAAUGACGGUACCUGAUUAAGAAGCACCGGCUAACUACGUGCCAGCAGCCGCGGUAAUACGUAGGGGGCAAGCGUUAUACGGAUUUAUGGGGUUAAAAGGGUGCGCAGGCGGCGAGUUAAGUCAGCGGUAAAAUUUCGGGGCUAAACCCCGACAAGCCGUUGAAACUGGCUUGCUAGAGUGGGCGAGAAGUACGCGGAAUGCGUGGUGUAGCGGUGAAAUGCAUAGAUAUCACGCAGAACCCCGAUUGCGAAGGCAGCAUACCGGCGCCCAACUGACGCUCAGGCACGAAAGCGUGGGUAUCGAACAGGAUUAGAUACCCCAGUAGUC